CAGCCGCCGCGGUAAAACGGAGGGUGCAAGCGUUAAUCGGAAUUACUGGGCGUAAAGCGCACGCAGGCGGUCUGACAAGUCAGAUGUGAAAUCCCCGGGCUUAACCUGGGAACUGCAUUUGAAACUGUCAGGCUGGAGUCUUGUAGAGGGGGGUAGAAUUCCAGGUGUAGCGGUGAAAUGCGUAGAGAUCUGGAGGAAUACCGGUGGCGAAGGCGGCCCCCUGGACAAAGACUGACGCUCAGGUGCGAAAGCGUGGGGAGCAAACAGGAUUAGAUACCCCAGUAGUCCCUGUCUCUUAUAC
rnacentral:rRNA from 1 species